UACGUAGGGGGCGAGCGUUGUCCGGAUUUAUUGGGCGUAAAGAGCUCGUAGGCGGUUUGGUAAGUCGGGUGUGAAAUCUCCACGCUCAACGUGGAGGGGCCACUCGAUACUGCCAUGACUCGAGUCCGGUAGAGGAGUGUGGAAUUCCCGGUGUAGCGGUGAAAAUGCGCAGAUAUCGGGAGGAACACCCGUAGCGAAGGCGGCACUCUGGGCCGGAACUGACGCUGAGGAGCGAAAAGCGUGGGGAGCAAACAGG
rnacentral:rRNA from 1 species